rnacentral:rRNA from 1 species
GAUGAACGCUGGCGGCGUGCCUAAUACAUGCAAGUCGAGCGAACAGACGAGGAGCUUGCUCCUCUGACGUUAGCGGCGGACGGGUGAGUAACACGUGGAUAACCUACCUAUAAGACUGGGAUAACUUCGGGAAACCGGAGCUAAUACCGGAUAAUAUAUUGAACCGCAUGGUUCAAUAGUGAAAGACGGUUUUGCUGUCACUUAUAGCUGGAUCCGCGCCGCAUUAGCUAGUUGGUAAGGUAAAGGCUUACCAAGGGGACCAUGCGUAGCCGACCUGAGAGGGUGAUCGGCCACCUGAGAGCUUGGACAGGGUCCAGACUACUACGGGAGGCAGCAGUAGGGAAUCUUCCGCAAUGGGCGGAAGCCUGACGGAGUAACGCCGCGUGAGUGAUGAAGGUCUUCCGAUCGUAAAACUCUGUUAUUAGGGAAAAACAAAUGUGGAAGGAACUGUGCACGUCUUGACGGUAACUAAUCAGAAAGCCACGGCUAACUACGUG